GCCAACGACCAUAUCACGGUAGAUACUCAAACCUACACCGGUUCUCGUCCGAUCACUGAAAUUAAUUAACGUCGGACGUUAUUAUUACUUGGAUGGGUGAUCACUUGGAAACACUACGUGCCGUUUGGU